rnacentral:rRNA from 1 species
ACCUGGGGAGUACGUUCGCAAGAAUGAAACUCAAAGGAAUUGACGGGGGCCCGCACAAGCGGUGGAGCAUGUGGUUUAAUUCGAUGAUACGCGAGGAACCUUACCAGGGCUUAAAUGCAUAUUGACAGGUCUAGAGAUAGACUUUCCUUCGGGCAAUUUGCAAGGUGCUGCAUGGUUGUCGUCAGCUCGUGCCGUGAGGUGUCAGGUUAAGUCCUAUAACGAGCGCAACCCCUGCCGUUAGUUGCCAGCAUUUAAAGAUGGGGACUCUAACGGGACUGCCGGUGCAAACCGUGAGGAAGGUGGGGAUGACGUCAAAUCAUCACGGCCCUUACGUCCUGGGCCACACACGUGCUACAAUGGCCGGUACAGAGAGCAGCCACGAUGCAAGUCGGAGCGAAUCUACAAAACCGGUCACAGUUCGGAUCGGGGUCUGCAACUCGACCCCGUGAAGCUGGAAUCGCUAGUAAUCGGAUAUCAGCCAUGAUCCGGUGAAUACGUUCCCGGGCCUUGUACACACCGCCCGUCAAGCCAUGGAAGCCGGGAGUGCCUGAAGUCCGUCACCGUAAGGAGCGGCCUAGGGCAAGAUCGGUAACUAGGGCU